GCAAACUUGGUCAUUUAGAGGAAGUAAAAGUCGUAACAAGGUUUCCGUAGGUGAACCUGCGGAAGGAUCAUUAUCGAACGAGUCUAGAGUUUGGUUGUCGCUGGCCCCCUCCCAUGGGCAUGUGCACGCCUUUCUCUUUUCAUCCACACACACCUGUGCACUUGUGAGAUGGAGGAUUGAAAAGUCCCCCGUCUACUUAAUCACACACAAACUCAUCCUACUUAAUUAAACCUGAAUGUAAUCGAUGUAACACAUCGUUCUAACAAAAGUUUCAACAACGGAUCUCUUGGCUCUCGCAUCGAUGAAGAACGCAGC
rnacentral:misc_RNA from 1 species